GUGGGGAAUAUUGGACAAUGGGCGCAAGCCUGAUCCAGCCAUGCCGCGUGAGUGAUGAAGGCCUUAGGGUUGUAAAGCUCUUUCGUCAGGGAAGAUAAUGACGGUACCUGAAGAAGAAGCCCCGGCUAACUUCGUGCCAGCAGCCGCGGUAAUACGAAGGGGGCUAGCGUUGCUCGGAAUCACUGGGCGUAAAGCGCACGUAGGCGGCCUUCUAAGUCAGGGGUGAAAUCCUGGAGCUCAACUCCAGAACUGCCUUUGAUACUGGAGAGCUUGAGUUCGGGAGAGGUGAGUGGAACUGCGAGUGUAGAGGUGAAAUUCGUAGAUAAUCGCAAGAACACCAGUGGCGAAGGCGGCUCACUGGCCCGAUACUGACGCUGAGGUGCGAAAGCGUGGGGAGCAAACAGGAUUAGAAACCCCGGUAGUCC
rnacentral:rRNA from 1 species